AGUGAACGCUGGCGGUAGGCCUAACACAUGCCAGUCGAACGGCAGCACAGUAAGAGCUUGCUCUUACGGGUGGCGAGUGGCGGACGGGUGAGGAAUACAUCGGAAUCUACUUUUUCGUGGGGGAUAACGUAGGGAAACUUACGCUAAUACCGCAUACGACCUACGGGUGAAGCAGGGGAUCUUCGGACCUUGCGCGAUUGAAUGAGCCGAUGUCGGAUUAGCUAGUUGGCGGGGUAAAGGCCCACCAAGGCGACGAUCCGUAGCUGGUCUGAGAGGAUGAUCAGCCACACUGGAACUGAGACACGGUCCAGACUCCUACGGGAGGCAGCAGUGGGGAAUAUUGGACAAUGGGCGCAAGCCUGAUCCAGCCAUACCGCGUGGGUGAAGAAGGCCUUCGGGUUGUAAAGCCCUUUUGUUGGGAAAGAAAAGCAGCAGGUUAAUACCCCGCUGUUCUGACGGUACCCAAAGAAUAAGCACCGGCUAACUUCGUG
rnacentral:rRNA from 1 species